UACUUGUGUAUAUUUUUUUGUUUAACUUGUGGAUAAAGAUUUAGAGAAAUGUGCAAAAACUAAAUCCUCUUCCACAACCCACAUCUCAUUGUUUAGAAUGAGUUUUGAUAAGAAGAAAUGUUUUGGGACAGG
ensembl:snoRNA